CCUCCCUGCCUGUUCCUCCGCCACCAGCUGCAGGGCAGCCAGAGUGGGCUCCAGGGACCAGCCGCCUUCCACGGGGCCUCCCAGGCCUGCCCAACCCUGGCAGGUCACCCCCGGUUUCCAAGGGGAGAAUGCACCCUGGUGAGCAGCCUGUGUGUGCGCACGCACACACACGCACGCACGCACGCGAGCACACACACACACACACGCACACAUGCACCCUCUGCCUCCCGGGACCUCUGUCUGUCUUGACAAAUCAUCAGAGCGGGACGUGAAGUGACAAAUUCUCAGCACGUGUGGCGGCUCGGGCCCUGCUUCAGAUGGGAUCGAAGUCACACGCGGCCCCUUUGUCCCUGUCCCUCCCGGCUGCCCCCACCCACCCGGUGCGGUCCUGCUGUGAGCGCCGCAGGCUUCCACCCCUGCCCACCUACAAAGGCUCUGCGGAGGCCACGAUGUCAAACUUCGCCCGAGGGGCUUUCCGAAAAGCGGGGGCGACGGGAGGGUACCGAGCCCAGCGCCCUGUCGCCGGCAGCCACAGCCAAGGCCCUUCCCUCUGACCCGGACCCUGCGUUGCACCCGGAACCGGAGCCCUGCGCCUGGCUGAGUACCGCCGCCUCCUGCGCCCAGGGCCGCUGAAGGGCAUCUGCAGCCCGGGGCAAAACAACUUUGUCUGGGCCAAGAGUUUCCGGCUUUGCCCUGCAAUCCCCGAAGCGGCAGCGCGGGUGCGGAAUGGUGAGUCGAGCGGGAGCUAUUCUUAGGAGAACGGAGUCAGCCUCGGCUUACCUGGGACGAGGGGCCCGCAGGCCCAGCCCGAGCGGAGGAGCGGAGGCCGAGAGAGGACUGCAGCGCUGUGUCAGAUUACACGGGGCGGGGGCGGGCAGGGGCGGCACCCGGCAGCGGCCAGGCCGAGGCGAGCCCGGCCCUGUGCGGCCCGGCUAGGAACGAUUCAUUAGUCUCCCGCAGGCUGGUCAGGGAAGGGGCCAGCCGCCACGCAGCGGCAGCUGGGCUGCGCAGCGUCAGUAGCCAGCACACACGGGCACGCACGCACACACACCAAGAUGGCUCUGUCCCCGCGCUGCCUGCCGGAGCCGCGGGUAGAGCUGUGGUCAGGAAGGAGCCAGCGGCGGCAGACACGGAGGCGGAGCCACUCGGCGGCCGUGGGGCUGCAGAUGCUCGGUGCAGAAGCCAGGCCAGGGCCUGCCUCCGGACGCACUGCCCACCACCUGGCCACCGCCCCUCCUCAGAACUGCCCGGCUGCUAGACUCACCGCUACCUAGCAACCGCGGUGCAGGGAGGUGCAGGGAGGUGCAGGGAGGUGCAGGGAGGUGCAGGGAGGUGCAGGGAGGUGCCGGGGUGCGUGUGUGGACUGCACGGCCAUGCACACGCACACGCGGACACACACGCACUUCCCCCCAAGUGGGGGGUUCCCGUCUGCUCUGCGGGACCCCCACACCCACAGGCUCAGGGUGCCAGGAAGAGGACUGGAGAGGCACAGGACACCAUGUGGCACCAUGGGCCCCUCGGCAGGGCGGGGGGCUGAGCGGCUUUGCUCCCCUUAAGUCGCAGAGCUGCUUCGGCCUCAGGCCUCACCUCGCACAUCACCUCGAGUGACCGCAGCACGCAGCACGUGGCCAGCCGGGCCUUCCUAGGCCAGAUGCAGUUUCCCCUCUGAAUCGUCCACCUCUGACUCACCCGCAGGAUGAGGCCCCAGACCCCAGGCUCACUGCCCCCGCCUCUCCCACAGAGCUGAUUUGCCCAACGCCUGGAAGCUGGGGCCAAGGGCCUGUGCUCCCCCUGUCCCUGGGGAGGGAGCCAGCAGCCCUUCAGCAGCAGCCGGGCAGGGUUAGCAGAGCCCCUCACCAGCAGCAGCACCAGCCACACAGGCAGAGGCAGGGACACCCCAAGAUGUGGUCUGUCCCUGCAGUGGAAUAGUACUCAGCCAUGAAAAGCAGCGGGAUCUAAUUUCACAUGCGCGGUGUGGACCCUGAAAACAUGGUGCUGAGGGAAUCACGACGCAGUCGGCUGCACAGGGUGCGACUCUGAUUUCAUGAAAUGUGGAACCCAUCGGGACAGGCCGGUCAGUGGUGGCCAGGGUGGCUGGGGAGGGGUUGCCAUACUCGGGGGUGACAACAGCCAGUGGCCCUGGGCGGGGUGGGGGCUGCACGGCGACGGAUGGGCGCACCCUGCACGACCAGCUCACACUAGCUCCUUCUAUGUUGUGGGAACCGACUGCAGGACCCAGCCCGACCUGGAGCCACGCGUGUGGCCCCACAGAGGCCAGGCCGCCCCCCCAGUGCACGAGGCCACAGGGCUGGACCAGAAGCACCCGGGCCCUCGGGGAGGACUGGAACCCAGCUUCUUGCCCGACUUCCUCAAAAACCCGGAGUCCAUGUUGGAAGUGGAUCUGUGGAUCCUGCCGGCCCUGGGUCCGAGCCUUCUGGAGCCCCAGAUGUGGUCUCAUGUGCAGGCACCGUGCCAUCCUGGGCGAGCACACGUGGGUGUCAGCCGGGUGGCCGCUCCGUCUCCACUGGGCCCAGCCCUAGCGCUGGACAGUGGGGCCCUCGAGGAGGUUGGAGCCCAGUGUCCUGCAGCCAGGCCAGGGUCCUCCCUGGGUCACCACUGAUGCCACAAAACUCAGAACUUCGUGCAUACAACUCUGGAAACCAACCGUGCUGAGCCCUCGGCAGCAGGUCCCCAGGGCGCCAAGCUUGAAGCCACCCGUCCCGGGCAGUGGGGACGAGUUCCCAUGAGGGGCACCUGCCAGGUCCAGGGACAGGGAGGCCCAGGAGGAAGUCAAGUGUGGGGCCAGGCACCAGCCACAGCUCCCGCCCUGGGCCCUGGAGGUCCCAGGCCACAACUGCCCCUCCACCUGGGGCGCCAGCACCCACUGCCCUCUAACAGUGCCUGUCCUGCCUCCGAAAGGCCCACAGCCAGACUGGUCAGCUAGGCCUUGGCAAGCACCUUCCUGGGGGCUGGGAGCAGUGGGGACUGAGUCCAGGAAGCACUGAGUUUCACCCCCUAAAUCCCUGGCCCCUUUUUUGUUUGAGGUACUUGGGUCUGAACCUAGCCUUUGCAGUAAGCUAUAUCCUCAUCCCUUUUUUUUAACCUUGAUACAGUGUCUUGCUAAUUUGCUGAGCUGCCAGACUGGGCUCCAACUGGGAUCCUCCCGCCUCAGCCUUCUGAGAAGCUGGGAUCACAGCCAUGGCAGGCCAGCUGUGGCAGCUCCCUGAAAGCAGGCGCUCACAGGAGCUGGGCAUCGUGCCAGGAGCUUUCUGGAAGGAGCGCGUGGUGCUCAAUGCUGUCUGCGUGAGAGCAGGGAACGAGGGCCAGGAAGCAGGUGUGCAGCAGGGCGCUGCAGUAGGCAGGAACACGGUCACUAACAAGGACCAGGCGGGGGCGGGUGCUGCGUGGGCUACGCAAGAUGACGGUCAUGCGUCAUCUCGUUCCAGCAAACAUAUGCAAUGUUGUAAACGGAUGUGUUUACUAUUUCGGGCAAAAAUCAGUAGCUUUCCUACGUAAGGGUGACGACCCACUGGAAACGGAAGAAAAAGCCCCUUACACUGAGCUCCAUCCCCAGCCCCUUUAUUCUUUGAGACAGGGUCUUGAUAAAUUGCCUGGGCUGGGCUGGAACCUGUGAUCCUCCUGCCUCAGCCUCCCAAGCAGCAGGGAAGGCUUCAUCACCACACCCAGCCAUGGUUGGAUUUUUAGCGGGUCUGGCAGCCCUUUGCUGGAUGAAUCCCAUAACCCAAAACACAGGGCUGCAGAGGGCCAGGCUGAGACACCCAUUUUGGCUUUGAAGAAUGCGUUCCAUCCUCUGGAGAGGGGAAAGUCCACACGCGGGUGGCAGCUAGGAGGUACGCUCCCCGCCCGUGCCCCUCCUGCAGGCUGAGGGUCCCCAGCCCCUGGGGGGAGGCAGCCCUGAGCCUGCUGCUGCCCCUCCUCCAAGGACCCAGGGGUGACCCUGCUGAGGACGACGGGCCCCGCCACCCGGCCCCGGAACCUUCCACAAACCCACGUCCCGAGCAAGCGGGCACCAGAUGGUGCCACCUGCCUGCCACCCACCGCCAGAUGGAGCUGCCACGCACCCCGCACUCUCGGCUCUCUGGCCUCCCCGGUGUGGGCCCAGCCACCUGGCUCCCUGCGGGACUCGCUCCAGGAUGGGCCUGCCGGACCCACCAUCCCAUCUGAGUCAGAGCACCCCGUCGACAUGUCCAGCUGCAGAUCCCAACACAGUGGCUGGCGGAGUGCAAACCCCUAUGCUGGGGCCCUGGAGUGGAGCUCAGCCACCAGGACUCCUUCCUGCAGUGUUGCUGAGGGGCAGCAAGCAGGAGCACCCUGAUUGGCUGGUUUCCCCCUGGAUGCGGCAUCCAGGCCACAGUGGUCAGGGCUCCAGACAGUUGAAGCCCGAAGAGCUCAGGGAGGCGGUCGGCCCAGCAGAACCCCGGACUUCCGGGCAGGGGUGGCAGGGGACAGCGCCCAAAGAUGCCCACGUGGGAUCCAACUGAGCAAGCCAAAUGGACUCAGAACGCCCCAGCCAGGCCCGAUCCUGCAACCUUUGAUGGACAGCACAGAGAGGACCUGGUCAUGGGACCCAGCUGUACCCACGGCCUGGAGACGGGGCUACCAUGGGUCCCCACAAAUCCUUUGAAAGGGUCUGCGUCAGCAGCGAAGGCCCUGAAAGAGCAGGAGUCCCCGGCAGGGGACAGGCCGGUGUCCACAUCCACAAGCCAGAGCCCUGCCCAGUGUGCAGUGGAUGGUGUCACAGCCAGCCUUGCCACCCCAGGACUCUGAGUCUGCAGUGCUGGUGCCCGUCCCCAGGAGAGAGCUGGUGUCCCCACCAUGGGCUUUGCUCCAUCCCUGCCCAGGCGUCUGUUAUCACAGAUUCCGAGUCGCUGCGCCUGCCCAGGGCUGGCUGGGGUGCAGACACUGCCGUGGCUUCUGAGGGUGGCGGGUCCAGGGGUCCCCGGCCCAGGAGGGAUGCGUGCUGGAUCAAGGGGCAGCAACCCCAUGGCUCCUUCCAGUAGUGGGGCCGGGGAAGCUGUCCCAUCCCCACUCCCCCUGCCGUCUCGGCUGUGCGUGGACGGUGGCUGAGUGGACGUCACCGACGGAGCUGUGCACACAGAUCCACAGAGGUGGGCACCGUGGCACAUGGAAGGCAGAACUCGCAGGCCAGCUCUGCACACCACGGUCAGCAGAUGACACUAACAGGUACAGAGCUCAGGGCAAAAGGACUGGAACAAAACACAACGCUGGGUCCGGGUAAAGGCGGCAGAAGUGAUGUGGGGGUGGGCAGACAGGAGGGCCAGGAGGGAGAAAGCCAUGGGCGAUAUUUAUGUGCACCAGCAGGAAACUGUUAUGUCUCAAAUAGAUACAUUUGUUUAAAUGUCCACAGAGUCGCUUAUACAUUCUCCCACUUCUACAAAUGUUAAAUUAGAAUAAAGGAUGUUUCCAUUGCAGUGAUCCCAUGCCACCCGGGGGACAGUGAUCACCGUCUCGGUCACCCGGGGCGUGCUGUCCAGGGAGCCUGUCUACACCAAGCCCCGCUGGGUGUGUCCAGCGCUGCCCAGCCCAGGCCGGCACCAAGGCAGGGGUGGGGUCUCCCGGGGCCUCUGGCCUUGGGUGUGGGAACACAGCCUUUCCGGGUGCAGGACUCAGGACGGAUGCUUCAGACAGGAGAAACCGGAGUGCACAGUGCAGGGCUCACCCUGGCCGCUCCAGUCCCUUCUAACCUCAUCCCCCGAGUGGCCAAGUGUGGUGAGGUUUCCUGGAGUGUGGAGUAAAAAAGGAAUGACUUGAAAGAAACGGAAGACAAUUAGACAAGAGGAAGGGGGUCUCGGGAAGGAGAGGGAGGGUAAUGAGGGGUGGAUAUGACCAAAAUAUGUUAUAUGCAUGUGUACCACCACGAGGAACCCCAAGGAAAAAGAACCAAUGCAAAAAAAGAGGAACUAGUGAGAUUAGUUCACUUUGCAUUCUCUUAUUUCCCAUUGUGAAUACGGAUAUGAUGGCUGGAGCUGUGGCAACUACAUUGUAACCAUGAAGAAAGGUCAAUAGAAUCAUGACAUUCCUGUAAUACCUGAGCCAUGGAUGUUGAGUCACUGCCGGCAGCUGUGCACUCAAACUGCUUCUUGAGGGAGAAAAUAAAGUCCUACUUAUCUG
rnacentral:lncRNA from 1 species